ensembl:snRNA U6 U6 spliceosomal RNA
GAACAUAUUGCUAUUUCCUUUUAAACACAUCCACAAACCAUACAGAGAAGAUCAGCAUAGUCCCUGUGCAAAGACGACAUGCAAAUUCAUGAAGUAUUCCAUAUUUCU